rnacentral:rRNA from 1 species
AGUGGACUUAGGCAAAUCCGGGUCCACAAUGCCGAGAUGCGACGACGAUUGCCCACGGGCGAGAAGUCAUUGAUGCCAUGCUUCCAGGAAAAUCUUCUAAGCUUCAGGCUAUUCAAGACCGUACCCCAAACCGACACAGGUGGUCAGGUAGAGAAUACCAAGGCGCUUGAGAGAACUCGGGUAAAGGAACUAGGCAAAAUGGUGCCGUAACUUCGGGAGAAGGCACGCUGGUGGUAUGUGAAACCCCUGCGGGUGGAGCAGAAGCCAGUCGAAGAUACCAGGCCCCUGCGACUGUUUAUUAAAAACACAGCACUGUGCAAACACGAAAGUGGACGUAUACGGUGUGACGCCUGCCCGGUGCCGGAAGGUUAAUUGAUGGGGUUAGCACUCGUGCGAAGCUCUUGAUCGAAGCCCCGGUAAACGGCGGCCGUAACUAUAACGGUCCUAAGGUAGCGAAAUUCCUUGUCGGGUAAGUUCCGACCUGCACGAAUGGCGUAACGACGGGGGCGCUGUCUCUACCCGAGACUCAGUGAAAUUGAAAUCGCCGUGAAGAUGCGGUGUAUCCGCGGCUAGACGGAAAGACCCCGUGAACCUUUACUAUAGCUUCACAGUGAACUUUGAGCAUGCUUGUGUAGGAUAGCUGGGAGGCUUUGAAACCCGGACGCCAGUUCGGGUGGAGCCAACCUUGAAAUACCAGCCUGGCAUGUUUGAGGUUCUAACUUGGUCCCCUUACCGGGGAUGAGGACACUGUGUGGUGGGUAGUUUGACUGGGGCGGUCUCCUCCCAAAGCGUAACGGAGGAGCACAAAGGUGGGCUAAGCAUGGUCGGACAUCAUGCGGUUAGUGUAAUGGCACAAGCCCGCUUAACUGCGAGACAGACACGUCGAGCAGGUGCGAAAGCAGGUCAUAGUGAUCCGGUGGUUCUGUAUGGAAGGGCCAUCGCUCAACGGAUAAAAGGUACUCCGGGGAUAACAGGCUGAUACCGCCCAAGAGUUCACAUCGACGGCGGUGUUUGGCACCUCGAUGUCGGCUCAUCACAUCCUGGGGCUGAAGCCGGUCCCAAGGGUAUGGCUGUUCGCCAUUUAAAGUGGUACGCGAGCUGGGUUUAGAACGUCGUGAGACAGUUCGGUCCCUAUCUGCCGUGGACGUUGGAGAUUUGAGGAAAGCUGCUCCUAGUACGAGAGGACCGGAGUGGACGAACCUCUGGUGUUCGGGUUGUGUCGCCAGACGCAUUGCCCGGUAGCUAUGUUCGGACAGGAUAACCGCUGAAGGCAUCUAAGCGGGAAGCCCCUUCCAAGAUAAGAUCUCCCCGGGCCC